CCCAGUUCUAAAUCUGGGAUAAAACAAAAUCACAACUCGAUUCCAAACUCGAGAGUAAGUAAUAUAAAUAAAAUAAUCACUCAGUUCUCAAUCCGAGUGUCUAAUAAAAUUAUAUCUCAGUUCCUAAUCUGAGAAUAUACUCGUAGUCAGUUCUUAAUCUGAAAACGGUACCUGAAAUAACAGCAUUUGCCCUUAACAUGGGAAAUAUAAAAUAAUAAGCAGUUGCUACUAUGCAACCAAUUGUAAAUGAUCAUGUGCAACUUGGCUUGCCUCUUCCGUGCCCCUAAAUAAAGGCAACACUCUUACUAUACCAACAUUGAACUACAGUAGAGCCUGAACAGAAGUUCAUGUUAUCGAGGUUCCUCUCUUACCCAGGUUCGCCUUAUCGAGGUUUCACAAAUUGUAUUUUUCAACCAUCAUGAAGUGUAUAUUGAUAAUGACCAAUCAGUCAAAUCAUGGCACAUAUGCUUAAACCAUAAAGCUUCCAAUCCCAAGACACACAUGGUUGAUUUUCUCCAGCUGUGUAUGUGCAUUUUAUGUGUAGAUAACUCAACACAUCAUCAUCCAGGUUAACUUAUACCUGCACAAAACUAAAUAAUUUUGUUAAAUGCCAUGCAAGCACACAUU